GGAGAAACUCAAGUAGAACUGAGGAGAGGCCCAUCAAGCUCAGUCUGAAGGGAGAGCCUGACUCUGGAAGGGGGCUCCUGUGGUAUCCUCCACAGUGUGACCGUCUGAGCUCAGCUCUCCUGCCUGGCAAGUCUGGCGUUUACAGGCUUACCUUCCAGGGCAAGAAAUUUCUGGAACAAAUGUUAAAAGUCAUGGCGAUGAAACGGUGUGGUAGUAUAGAAAGACCCAGAAUCUUCAGUCAAACAACUUCCUCCCGUCACUUACUGGCCAUGACCUUGAGCUUCAUUCUUCUUACCCCUAAAAUGGAGAUGAUGGUACCAGCCUUCA